rnacentral:lncRNA from 1 species
ACUAACUGUUUUCAACUGAUUCUUACUGGAAUGAAAAGUGAAAUUAUUUCAUUGGGAUAAAUUAUUUCAAAGAGAUAAAUUCAGUCUCAACAGUUAAGAGAGAGCCUACAGAUGCUGGGCAAGUGCUUCCUCACUGAACUUGAAGCCCACUAACUGAAAAGGCAGCAGGAGUCACCUGUUAUCCCAAGUGCCUUGUUAAAGGGGAAGGUUCGGAAACAACAUCCAUCACUGAGAGGCAAGAGAAAUUUAAUGCCCAAGAAGUGGUUUUCCCUUGAGUCAAGAAGAGGCAAAGGGUUUCAGAGAGAGAGAGUUGCACAAGAGAGUCAAAAACAAUGAGGACUUCAUGAAGUCUUAUCUCAAGUGCCUAUGGUGCCAACGAAGCGUAUGCCUUCAAAGAAAAAUAGAACCCCUGACUAAACAAGCCAGCAGAUGACAACAAAAUAAUACUACUUCAUGUCAACAGCUAUCUAAAGUAGCUUAAACUCAUAGGUUUUAAAAAUCACGGAUUAAAAAUAUGGAAAAAUAAAGCAAAGAAAAUAAAGCAAAAACAUAGAAAUAGAUUUGUAACACAAAGCCAUAAGGUCCUGUGUGAUUGCCAGAAGUCAUUUCUAAAAUGAGACAUUACUUUCUUCAGCGCCAACAGGGAAGAAGGAACGGCUAAGCAUGAGAUUCACUGCUGAAUGAUGACAAAGGCUGUUUUAGGCAUGUGAUAGGACUUUGCAUUGCAGCCAUAUAUGUGAUUUCACAUGUGGAAGUGUCUCACAGCUUAUUAAGUGUCAAUCUAUCAGACCUUUGUUUUAAGAUUACAAUUUCAUGAAGACAAAACAGUUUCUCUGUCAUUAAUGACUCUGUUUCAACACAUCAGCUUCUCAAUUUUCAAAGAGAUCUUUGUAUUUGCAUUAAUCUUUGU